rnacentral:rRNA from 1 species
UACGUAGGUGGCAAGCGUUGUCCGGAUUUAUUGGGCGUAAAGCGCGCGCAGGCGGUCUCUUAAGUCUGAUGUGAAAUCUUGCGGCUCAACCGCAAGCGGUCAUUGGAAACUGGGAGACUUGAGUACAGAAGAGGAGAGUGGAAUUCCACGUGUAGCGGUGAAAUGCGUAGAGAUGUGGAGGAACACCAGUGGCGAAGGCGACUCUCUGGUCUGUAACUGACGCUGAGGCGCGAAAGCGUGGGGAGCAAACAGG